AUGAAUCAUCAAGACGGCACUGAUCCUUGGUUUUCGCAAAGGCCGCAAGCGCCUCCUUGGAAAGCAGCAGAGUACAAUCAACUCAUUUCCGCAGGGCCGUUGCUGCCACUACUAGAGCAGUACGCGAACAUCGGUUCUUAUGACACAACCACACACACGGGGAUACCAUGGCAAGUUCCUACACAUGGCGCUAACGCUGAUAGAUGUUGUUAUGGUGGAACCACAGCAGCAAAUGUAUCGUGGCAAGCUUCGUCGUUGCAGGCCAUCGCUGUUGCAGAUAGAGCACAACAAAUUGAAGUGACAGACCAGCUUCGGUUAGCACAUGCGGCACAACAAGGAGCUUCAACUACAAUCAACAGCGGCACGGGGACAUCUACUGCGGGAACCUCGGAGCACAUGGAAGGAGCUUUCCACAAGCAAGUCACCAAUGCUGCCACAAACAAUGCAGAAUCAGUGUCAGAACUGGCAAUCGUUGCAGCAAUGAUGACAAGCACGCCUGUGCACACCAGCACAAGCAACACUCAGGCAGAUGAAACAGCCACCAAUACUGAAGUGAAUGAUGAAACUGAUGACGAAGCGCAAGGGGAAGAAGAAGAUGUGCAUUUGGUAAUCAUAGUACCUCAACCCCCAUAUGUUGGGAAGAGAUUUGGUUCUUUUGAAGAUGCCAAGGAAUUCUACCAGAGAUAUGCAAUGUUCCAUGGAGGUGAGAUAAGGUGCUACAAGGCACGAAGGAACAAGAAGGGUAAAUGUGUUGUGCCUGCCGUGCCGGAAGGAAAGAGAGGUAUCAUUGUCAAGACGGAAUGCCAUGUCCGAUGUAAGCUAAACGCAGAUGGAGCAUGGUGGGUGGUCACCGAAUAUUUCGACGAACACAACCACGAACUCAUAAAGAAGUUUGACCUGGUAAAAUUUCUGAGCGCCCAUAGAGGAUUCAGCCCCCUCGAGAAGAAAUUCAUAAAGUUGCUGCAUGAUUGUAACGUUGGUCCAUCAAGAAUGGUCCAAAUACUAUCCCUGAUCCACAGCGGAGAUGGUAGUCUGAGUAGCAUGCCCUACAUACCAGCAGACGUCACAAACCUAAAGGCAAAGUACCAUAGAGAGAGCAGGUUGGCUGACAUAGAAGACACGAUAGCCUACUUCGAAGAGAAAGCAAAAGCAGAUACUAAUUUCUUCUACAGGAUAAGAUUGGACGAUGAGGACCGUGUCAGAAACAUGUAUUGGGUGGAUGGUGCUGCAAGAAGAGCCUACAAACAUUUUCCUGAUUGCAUUUCGUUCGACGUGACAUAUCUCAUGAAUAUGUACAAGAUGCCCUAUGCUCCAUUCAUAGGAAUAAAUAACCACAAUCAGUCAUUGCAGUUCGGUUGCGGACUCGUUCGGAACGAAGACAUGGAUGGUUACACUUGGCUGUUCAAAACCUUCUUGGAGUGCAUGGGUGGACUUGCUCCGAUGAACAUAAUAACAGACCAGGAUUUUAGCAUGCGUGCAGGCAUAGAGGAGGUCUUUCCGUUGGCAGUGCACAGGCACUGCAGGUGGCAUAUUAUUAAGAAGGCUGAGGAGACGCUAGGACCAUUCUUUGCUGACCGUCCAGAGCUACACAAGGCAUUCGAGUUGUGCGUGGACCAUAGCUUGACGGUGGAGGAGUUUGAACGGAGCUGGACGGCUAUGAUUGAAACAUACCAAACUAGUCAGCGCAGCGAGGGGUUCAAUGUUGUUUUGAAGCGGUACGUGAGCCCUGGCAACUCAUUGUUGCAGUUUGCCAAGCAAUACACAGCUUUGCAACAAAAAAUACUGGGAUCUGAGCUACAGCAAGAAGCAAACACCGCGCUCAAGCAGCUAAAUUGCUAA
rnacentral:rRNA from 1 species